rnacentral:rRNA from 1 species
AUUGAACGCUGGCGGCAGGCCUAACACAUGCAAGUCGAGCGAGCGGCGGACGGGUGAGUAAUGUAUGGGGAUCUGCCUGAUGGAGGGGGAUAACUACUGGAAACGGUAGCUAAUACCGCAUACCAUCAGAUGGACCCAUAUGGGAUUAGCUUGUAGGUAAGGUAACGGCUUACCUAGGCGACGAUCCCUAGCUGGUCUGAGAGGAUGAUCGGCCACACUGGGACUGAGACACGGCCCAGACUCCUACGGGAGGCAGCAGUGGGGAAUAUUGCACAAUGGGCGAAAGCCUGAUGCAGCCAUGCCGCGUGUGUGAAGAAGGCCUUCGGGUUGUAAAGUACUUUCGGUCGGGAGGCGGUACCGAAAGAGGAAGCACCGGCUAACUCCGUGCCAGCCGCCGCGGUAAUUC